rnacentral:rRNA from 1 species
CCUGAGAAACCCAAAAGAUCGAAUGGGGAGAUUCAUCGUCAGCGAUUCUGGUACGUGUGCGGUUCGCGAUGCCGGAGACUUCGGUCUCAUUGCACGCGUCCGCAUGUUUUUUAUUGCCGGGAUCGUCGGCGUGCACUUCUCCCCUAGUAGGACGUCGCGACCCGUUGGGUGUCGGUCUACGGCCCGGGUGGUAGCCUGUCACGUGUGCGCUUCACGGCGUUACGCGGGGCAGACCCCCGGUUGCCUGACCGGCUGCCCGGCGGUACUCGCACGGUAUCUGGCCGCAAAUAUUCGAACUGCGUCCGGCCCGUCGCAAGCGAGGCAAGUGUUUCCCGGCUGUACGGAUCUAAUGCCGUCACCGGGCCUUGCCAGCUGUUGGUUGACGGUGUCCUAGGACUGGCUAAUAAAAUUAUGAUACCGGUCGGCGACGCUACUGCUUUG